ACUUGUUGUAAUCCUCCCGCCUCAGCCUCCUCAGUGCUGGGAUUAUGGGCGUGUGCCACCAAGCCUGGCUGAUCAUCUAUAUGGUGUCAAAUGCCCCAUGGCAAAAUAAUUUUCCAGAGGUCUGUCCUGACCUCCUCCUCUCAUCCAUUCACAGUUCAUUCAUUUAUUCAUGCCACGAGCAGGUGCUGAGCUCCCAAGGCUCAUGUGCCAAGCUGGCAGGCUGGCUGGGUCCUGAGACAGGAGAUUCCACUGGUCUCACUUUUGUGCUGGCCGUAGGUGAGCAUCCCACAGCCACAGUUCCCAUGGCCUCUCCUGUCGUGUCCAGCCCAGAACUCUGGCAGCUCCCAGACUGGAAUCCGCCUGCAGGGCUUCUCCCUGCUGUGUCGGGGUGCUGAGGAUGUCAUGGCUCUGCUCCCCUGUGGCGUCCUUCCUCCCCAGAAGAGUAGGGCACGAAGCCCCGCCCUUCAUCUUUCUCCACGCCCCUCCGUCUGUCCUCGACCUCAGGGCCCCUUCAUCUCCUGCCUGCUGUAUCAUUAUUUUAAAAAUGAGGCAUCGCCUGACUUGCAGGAAGCACCCGCCUCUGAAUGCACAGGCUUGUGAUUUGUGCGGAUGCACGUGUCCAGCCGCCUCCCUCCAGGAGGACACCCGACGGGCCCCUCCAGCUUCUCAGCCUUCCUACUUUUGAGCGGACGGGUCAGUCUUGCCGGUUCUCAGUGCGGACGUAGGUGGACUCGCGCGUGCCUGGCUUCUGAGGGUCACCAGUCUCUGAGGCUGCAUUCCUCCGCAGCUGAGCACUGCUUGCUUGGCAGCCGUCUGUGCUUGUGCUCGCGCAGUGGUGGGAGGUCGUGUGGCCAGUCUGCUUUUGCUUGGGCAUCUGGGUGAACACCCAGAACUGCUGGUCACAGGGGAGCCACACAGCUUCCUGGAGGAUCCUCAUACCUCCCGGCCUCUGCAGCAGCCUCAAGGAGGGCCCUGUGCCUCUGCCACUGGGUCUUCUUCUCACGUACCAAGCUAGCGGGCGCUCCUCCCACACCCUGCUCUGACCAGUGCUCCGCUUGGGUCUGCAGAGCCCAGGGUGCUCUGGCCUGGCCUGGCCUAGCCGCUCCCACCGGCCUGGCGUCUCCAUGAAGUUCCCAGUGCAGUUACUGCAUGCACCCAGGCUCUGCGCGCACGUCACCUCUGGCCUGCACACAGUGUCCUUUCUGCUGAGCACAGCCCCGCCCUCACAUUCCUGGGGACAGCCUCUGCAUGGGCUGGUGUCUCCGGAGCACCUUGUGCUGCUGACCUCUGCAAGGGCCUGAGCAGCCUCCUUCGGCUACCUCCACUCGGGCUGGCGCUGUCUGUGCUCAGGGCGGGCACGCAGACCUUUCCUCCCCGCUUUGCGCCCGGAGCCUGUGUGUGUGCUGGCCCCCGGGGGGCUCGGGGCAUGCACAGGCCAACCAGGCGAGCACACGCUGAGGUUUAGGUGCCACACAGUGAGGUGCGCACAUCUUCCACGUGCGGCUCCAAGUUGUGCAGAUGUGCACACCCGUGACCUCAGUGCAGUCAAUGUGGGACAUGCGCAGGCCCGCGGGAGGCUUCCCUGGGCCCCGAGGGGUCUUUUAAACCUCUUUUCUGCGUGUUGAGCCCCCAGCUCCUUUUGCCUGUUCCUGAUAUUGACAGAAGUGGCGUCACACAGGACGUCCUCUCUGCAGUCUGCUUCUCUCAGCGUGGAUCCUCUGGCUCAGUGCGGCAGCUCCCCGGCCUGAGCCCUCCACCCUGGGCUCCGCAUCGCCCUGAGCCUGUACCUGGCUGUUUGCUUCCCGAAGUCCCUUCUGGUUCUGUUUCCUUCCUCAGCCCCGGUGGGGCUUUGUUUGUAAAGUCCUGGUCUCUGAGCACACGAGGCCCUCUCUUCCUGUGCUCAGCAAGGCGGCCCUGAUGUGCAGGAUGUGUGACAUCCGUGAGAAACACGAGCCAUGGUCCGGCCCAGCCGCUCCCAGGGGACCUCAGGCAGCGUGACCAGUGCUUCUCCCUCCUGGGCCUUGCUGUGUCCCUCCGCGACACCAUCCUUCCGGCCACGCAUGUCUCCUUGAGCCCCGGGGAGGACAGCCUGGCCACUCCUCCUCCACGCUUGGUGCUGUGGCAACACGGAGCAGGCACCUUGGCACACUCCUGACUGAAUUCUCACAUGGGGCCCCAGCCCAGCAGGACCAGCAGCCUAUGGAUCAGCAACCCAGGCCCAAGGGUCAGAAACCCUGGGGUGAGGCCGCAACCAGUGCCCCACAACCUCUAGGGGUUCUGGUGCAUGUGUGCGUGUGUGCCAACUGCCGGCUCUGGCCCAUGCCCAUGUGGUGGGGAGCAGUCAGGGCAAUGGGCAGGCAUGUGCUACCAUCAUCCCAAGAGGAGGGAAACGGGAUAGGAGACAAGGCUGUGCGGCUAAUGUGACCAGACAACCAGGGCUUCCCCAGGGAAACCUGUCCUCAGGUGGCAUGAGGUCAGCGCUGACGCACACAGACCCGAUCCCAGCUCAUCCCCUGUGAAGGUGCCCUGCCCGAGGCGUCCUACUCUCCCCUCCUCUGCCCGGCUCUGAGCCCUGCAAGGCUGAGCCCCAGACACUGUGUGCCCUGCUCCCUGGCCCGCUGGCUCCCGAGUGUGUCUAUUCUGUGGGAGGCAGGGGCUGGGGGUCCGUGGGCAGCGGGAGGGUGCUCAGGGCCGUGAGGUACUGGGUGCCUGGCUCCGUCCCCUGCUCGGGGAAGGACGAGGUAGGGCGCUUGCCCUUGAACCUUGUCCACACACGCCCAACCAGGUGGGAAGGAGGGAAGCCGGGGGUCUGGCUCUCCGGGGGGCAGCGGCCUGGUGUUCUGGCUCAGGGUGUGCUUGAGGUGCGUCAAGUGUUUGGCUGCUGGCUGGGCCCAGGGUCACCAUGCAUCCUCCCAAGUUUGCUGCACAAGAAACCUGAGCUCACGGCAUCUGGCAGUGUGCACGUUAGCCCUCUCCUUCCCCGGCUCAUCUGGUGACCCAGGACAAGGGGAUGGUGUCACGAGAGUGCUUCCCAAACCCACUGACUGCACACCCUGCUUCUCAGGCAUCUUGUAGAGCUUGAGUUCCCUGGAGCACACUUGGGGAACUGCGGGUUAUACAUUUAUAAUACUGACUGUCCCCCUUAAAGGCCUAGAGACCGGGAACUCUGUGAGUCAGGGCCAGCGGUUGAUGCUAAAGGGUCAACAGCCCCUUAAGUCUCUUGCCCCUGAUCACCCAGUAUAAUCACUGGGGCCAUCUCCUAACCUGUUGACUUAACGGGGUGUGGCCAGGGGAAUUUAAAAAAUUCCCCAGGUGACUGCAAUUGUGUAGGCAGGGUGGGAACUGUCCUCUAGAGCUGGGGCGGUGGGUGAGCUGGAGGGUGGGGGUCUCUCUGUACCACAGUAAGGGCACAGGCUGCAGAACGCGGGCAGUGAGGUCCUCCUGGAUUUGGCACUGACCCACCCUUGGUUCCGAGCCCAACACCUUUACAGAGCCACCUGUCCCUAGAACAUGCUCAAAGAGGAGGGACAAGGGCAUCAAGAAGACUCAAACCCUGGUCUUGAGGGGCCUGACCAGGCCUGGAGAUAGCACGCGGUGCUCAGAAACGAGCUGCUGGGCGUGCCACUUGUCACCGGCCCUGGGCUCUCCCAGCGUGGACUUUAUCUUUGAAGCCGCUCCGGGUUUCUGCCUGACCCGACUGGGAUGGGGGUCGCAGAGGAAGCGAUGGGGACCCUGGGAUAAGCAGCAAGAUGAACGCAAUGGCAAUGAUUCUCCCGGGCUGGGCAGGGGAGCGGCUCACCCAUGGCUGCACUGCGUGGUUCAAUGAGCACAUGAAUUUUCAUGAGCAGGAGGGCUAGGCCCGGGUUAGGAUGACAGUGGGGGACUUGGGUAGCAGCAGGUCUGCUGGGCCUGCUCACCUGACUGCCCGCUAUCUGGCUUCUGGCCCAGGGCUGCACUCGGACCCUGCUUGGUGAGUGCCAUGGGAAGGGUGAGUUUCCUUGACUCGAGGGAGACAGGUAACCAGACUGAGAACAGGGGCCAAGCACUCCGGGUCUCACAAAGAGCAUGUGCAAAGGCCAGGGGCUGAAAGGGCUAAGCUCAUCUGAGAACCACCAGCGACCUGUUGUGAACUGGGGGGAGAAGGAGGAGGCUGGAGAGCUGGCACGGGGGAGGCACUUGGGGCUUCAUGGGGCAGCACAAUUGGAAACCCAGCCUCAGGGGCCGUUCCCGCUGUGACCCGGCAGGUACGUGCCUCCAACGCGCUGGCCUCAGCUUCCCUACUGGGGGAUGGAAAUAACAAAGGCCAGCCCUCGCCUCUUGGGACUGGGACUGGUGCUUGGCUGGGGAUUGUCCUGGGCUCGCAGCAAGCUGUGCACAGGUUCCUGCACUGUCACUGCCACUCUGAACUCUGGAGAAGCAGCCCAGGCCGGGUCCUGGCCAGCUGGCUGGGCUGGACUCUUCUCCACUCCAGCUGCUCCCUCCCAUGGCCUCGCAUGCCGCCAGCCACCCUGCUGCUGGGUGCUAAGCAGGCCGUUCCCUGCGGUCUGUGUCUCCCAUGGCUGACCACAUUCUGGAACCCAGCCUCAGUGUGUGGGGGCGGGGCAGGCAAGGCACCACCCACUCUGGGUGACAGGGAGCCAGCGAGUAGGUGGGGCGCUGCGGGCGGGUGGGUGGGUGGGGUGUUUCUGAGCGUACCCAGGGACACUGUGUCCCUCUCUGAUCCACCCGGCUCCUCCCAGGGUACGUGGGGCCAGGUGCUGGGCACACAGCUGACGCUUGGGGCAGGGAGUGACGGGCUUCAGGAGGCAGGUGCAGCGUGGGGAGCAGGGCGGGCCCUGCGGAGGAAGCUGGCCUGGCCACCUCCUCCCCAUGGCAGGGCAGUGGGGCGGGAAGCCCACUCCUGCCCAGGUGCCAGGGCUGCUUCUAUCCUCCCAGCACUCUGUGCCUCAGGGCUCAAGCGGAACCCUCAGAGGCAAGCGCAACUCUCGUUUGCACCGCAAUCCCUAGCAAAUCUCACCACCUUGCGCUCCCUGCUGGCGGCGGGAGUCAGAGAGCACCAGGCAGGGAGCCUGGAGGCUGGAGCUGGGCCUCUGGGUGGCCACAGGAUUGGGGCAGGACCCAGGGAGGUCCCUAUCAAGACCCCAAGGGCCAGGGCGCGGAGCUGUUCACUGAUGAAUGACACUGCUCGGGGGUGGCCCUGAAGCCCACAGACUCCCUGCGAGUCUCGGCAAAGGCUUCAGCUGAGGGCGCAGUCAAGGCCACCAUCACCCCAGGGUGGCCCGGGGCCUGGUGAUCCCGGCAGGGAGGAAGCCAGGCCUGAGCAGGGUGGGCGAGAGGGUGCCGACGGUCAGGGCACACGAUGGAGGGAGGGGCACAGAAAAUCGGGUGCCGAGGGAGCAGGGCUGAAAGUGCUGCCUGGACUUGGGGUCCCCGCUUCCCAGUGGGGGGCUCCUGCUUCUCACCUAGGCCCGUUCUUUCUCCUGCAGCAUGCUGGCCGUGUGCCGGUUUCAACCCUCUCCUCCCACGUGACGACUCAGCGUGGGGUCAGGGGCCUGUGCGGAGUCCAGGGCCCCGUGAUCUAUGGGGUGCAUCACCAGCCAGCGCCACUACCCGAAUGCCGUAGGCCUGACGGCCACAUCUGCAGUGGGGCGGCGGUGACAGAAGACUGCAACUUCAGGAACCACCCAGAGCACCCCGCCGCACGCCCCCGCCAGGCAUCCGUAUCAACACUCCUUUGGGUACAGUAGAUGUUAGUUCCCUCCCAGAACCAUCGCACCCCAAAUUCUCCAGAGAUACUGCAAGCCCCUCAGCUGGCUUCACUGAGCAAGGAAGGAGCAAGAGCCUCACCCCGAGAUAAAGGAGCAGGGUGAGCAAACCAAAGAAUGCUUAACAUCCCUAUUUCAGUAAAAGGAGGAGAAAGUGAGACACGGAGACACUAUAAAGUGGGCUAGUGCCUUGGGGGGCCCCCUCUCCCCGGGCUUUUCCACCCCUUAAAGAGAAGUGUUCCAGUCCCACACUGGGUGGCACCUCCUUUCUGAAUGCUGCACCCCACGCUCAAGUGCACCUUAAACCUCUAAUACAUGCUUUCCACGCUUCUUACUAACUUGUCCUGAAAAUUUCUUCCAAGACAGUCAUCAGUGAACCUGCUACAAAAGGGUGGCUUACACGCCUGACUCCGGCUCCAGGACACUCCAGACCUGCCCGGAGAUGAGUGAGCGGAGUGGGGUCAAACAUGGGGGCAGACGGUGACACUCCCAAGAAUUGUCAGGACACUGCGAGAGGAGAAACGGGGUCACAGCGUCGGGGCUCGAGCAGCCCGGAAGCUUGGCUCCCCCUUAGUGCAGCAGUGAGCCUGGACAGGGGCUGGGGAGAUCCCCACACGGCCACCCAGAAGGCCACACUUGUUACCGAGCAGCCAUAGAAGCCUUUGACUCAAUAAAAACCUCACUUGGAAAGCAAAUACGAAAA